UACGUAGGGUGCGAGCGUUGUCCGGAAUUACUGGGCGUAAAGGGCGCGUAGGCGGCCUGUUAAGUCGAACGUGAAAUCCCCGGGCUCAACCCGGGAACUGCGUCCGAUACUGGCAGGCUUGAAUCCGGGAGAGGGAUGCGGAAUUCCAGGUGUAGCGGUGAAAUGCGUAGAUAUCUGGAGGAACACCGGUGGCGAAGGCGGCAUCCUGGACCGGCAUUGACGCUGAGGCGCGAAAGCCAGGGGAGCAAACGGG
rnacentral:rRNA from 1 species